rnacentral:rRNA from 1 species
CCGGAUACAGCUUUCAUGUUGGAAUACGGAAAGCCGGAAACGGUCCGCCGCCGGAGGACGUGACUGCGGCCGAUUAGGUAGACGGUGGGGUAACGGCCCACCGUGCCGAUAAUCGGUACGGGUUGUGAGAGCAAGAACCCGGAGACGGACUCUGAGACAAGAGUCCGGGCCCUACGGGGCGCAGCAGACGCGAAACCUUUACACUGCACGACAGUGCGAUAAGGGGAUCCCGAGUGCGAGGGCAUACAGUCCUCGCUUUUCGUGACCGUAAGGUGGUCUCAGAAUAAGGGCUGGGCAAGACCGGUGCCAGCCGCCGCGGUAAUACCGGCAGCCCGAGUGAUAGCCACUCUUAUUGGGCCUAAAGCGUCCGUAGCUGGCCGAACGGGUCCGUCGGGAAAUCCACCCGCUCAACGGGUGGGCGUCCGGCGGAAACCAGUCGGCUUGGGACCGGAGGACCUGCGGGGUACGUCUGGGGUAGGAGUGAAAUCCUGUAAUCCCAGACGGACCACCGGUGGCGAAAGCGCCGCAGGAGGACGGAUCCGACAGUGAGGGACGAAAGCUUGGGUCUCGAACCGGAUUAGAUACCCGGGUAGUCCAAGCCGUAAACGAUGCUCGCUAGGUGUGGCGCAGGCUACGAGCCUGCGCUGUGCCGUAGGGAAGCCGAGAAGCGAGCCGCCUGGGAAGUACGUCCGCAAGGAUGAAACUUAAAGGAAUUGGCGGGGGAGCACUACAACCGGAGGAGCCUGCGGUUUAAUUGGACUCAACGCCGGACAUCUCACCGGCACCGACAAUGUGCAGUGACGGUCAGUGUGAUGAGCUUACCUGAGCCAUUGAGAGGAGGUGCAUGGCCGCCGUCAGCUCGUACCGUGAGGCGUCCUGUUAAGUCAGGCAACGAGCGAGACCCGCAUCCCUAAUUGCCAGCAACACCCAUGUGGUGGUUGGGUACAUUAGGGAGACUGCCGCUGCCAAAGCGGAGGAAGGAACGGGCAACGGUAGGUCAGUAUGCCCCGAAUGUGCCGGGCUACACGCGGGCUACAAUGGCCGAGACAGUGGGACGCUACCCCGAGAGGGGACGCUAAUCUCCUAACCUCGGUCGUAGUUCGGAUUGCGGGUUGAAACCCACCCGCAUGAAGCUGGAUUCGGUAGUAAUCGC